CGUUUGCUAAUUGAGAUUAUCGCAGAACAAAAUAUAUAAAAAAUAUCCUAAACCUGUGUUUACCACAUUAUUUUCGUUGUUUAUUCCAAAACGCCCUUAAUUUUCCCAAUAGGCUUUGUCCAAGCGAACCAUGGAGUUAGUGCCUACAAAAAUACGCCAUUACUAUUGCCCUACGGUAAACUGUUCGGUGUGUUCCAAAACCGUCGAUUGCUUUAUUCUCCAGGGAAGUCUGGCUUUACGGCAGUCUUGAAGUCGUCCUUCGACUAGUUUAGCAUGAAGUAGCUACAUUUACAUCAAACGUUUGAUUCAAAUGAGCUUAUUUGAUCUAUUUCGUGGAUUUUUUGGGGUACCUGGAGGAGGCCAUGAUCGUGGUGAGGGCCGAAGGGACCCCUUCUUCGAUGGCAUGACCCACGACGAUGAUGAUGAUGAAGAGGAGGAUGGAAUCUACUUUGAUGGUUCACAGGGUGGUGGUGGCCAGCAGGACCUGUUUGAUAAUCAGUGGAGGUUUGGGUUCAGCAUGGGCCCAAACGGAGUGAGGAUCCAGGAGCCUGAGAUGUUUAGCCAGUUCUUCAGAGAGAUGGAGAUCUUCUCACAGCUAGGGCGAUACGAUGGUCAGUUUGGAGUAGGACAGUUUGGUGUUACCGGUAUUGAGGCGCCCCUUUCCCAGGACAGGUCAGAGAAAGGUGGGGGAGGUUCCAGUGGAAACUCAUUGAGGGACUUCAUGUUGAAAGGCCCCAAUGACUGCCCGUGUGGGUCGACUGGGCUACCCUCAGGACCAUCAGAAGGCCCCAGGGUCGAUAAGAACCCUCCAUCUGGUGGCCCAUGCUUCCCCAACACACCCUUUGAUUACUGGACACCCUUUUCUAAGUUCAAUGAUAGUUGGAGAGGAAGGCUACAAAGGGGUCAAAAGCAGGAGCCGAAAGCAGACAGAGAUCUGGACUCACAAGUCUCCUUUGGAGGGCUCGAUCAGAUUCUAGCGCCACCUGCUUGGUCUUCCACUCAGCCAAAGAUGCGCUCUUACUUCCAGUCGGUCACUGUCACCAAAGUGGUGAAGCCUGAUGGGAGUGUUGAGGAGAGGCGCACAGUCCAAGAUGGCCAGGGGAACAAGGAAACCACAGUGACUUAUAUAGGGGGGCGCGAGGGGGUACAGGAUCAAGCCGGACCGCUCUUACCACCAGAGGGGACAUAUUGAAUGGACAAGCUGAGAUAUCUGGACAGAGCCUCUACAGACAGACGGAGGCUCAAGGGGAUGACAUCAGGCAUACUCAGCCGGUUUAAUCCCAGAUUACCAGUCUAGAGUUAGUUGUAAGUAUUUUUGCUUUAACACAGGACCACCAGGACAGGAGACAAUCGUAGACCUAAGAGGUUGAUAUGAUAGAGAACAAUUGGGGGUUAUUGAUUUAGUGGGGACAGAUAGGUACGAAGGAUGGAGGUACUGAAGGGAAGGCUGAGGGUGAGGAAUAUGCCAUUUAAGGAGUUAAUGGCUGAGACCUUGGCUAUGUUCGUCCUUAUGGUGAGUACUUCAUCUCAAAAUGUCUUUCUUCAAAUUAUCAAUGAUCAAGGGUUGUUACUGUUUUAUGCAUUCUUAAAUCUCAUGAAUUUGUUUAUUCUGUGUUUGAAAGUGCUUGGGAGCAAAAGCUACCUCACCACAAUUGAGGAACAUAUUCAAAAUGUUCUAGAGUAGCUGUUCCUCGAAUCCAUUGGCCAUUCAAAGAUUUGUUUCGACACGGUCAAGACUUGAGUUGGAAUGAGAUCCAGAAACGUGGAACUGAACAGAGCAACCCUGGGUUAAAACGGAAUCUUCUAGAACGUACUUAACUCUUCUAUCACCUCCCCCAUUGCAAGGGACUUGCCUAGUUAAAUAAAUGUUCAAUUAAAACUAAAACAACAAAGUCUACGUGCUGCUUUUAGUUCUCGCCAACCUUGUUGUAAUUUACAUAUUUUUGUCUUCAUCUUUUCCUUUAUCAGUGUCUUUUGAAGAUGUUUGGCAAGCAUGCAUGGUGACUACUAAUUUGACCUUUAUCUCUCUUCCCCCUUUCUUGUCCACCCUUCCUCUUCUCUCCCUACUCCGUCCCUCUCUCCUUCCUCGAUCUCGCCCUCAGCGAUGGCCCAGGUGAAGUUGACUCGAGGGGCCAAGGGUGAGUACCUCUCGGUCAAUAUGGCCUUCUCAGUGGGCGUCAUGAGUGCCAUGUACAUUGCCAGGGGCGUCUCUGGUAAGUGGUAAUUCAAGACAACUACCGGUAGCCUCGUAAAUGCAUAACCCUUCCCAAGUAUAAGACAGAGAACCCAAAUUGUAGUGAUAACUUUCUCACUGCUUUGACUUGAUUUUCAUUGAACUCUUCUGUAACCCUAUUGUUAUUAACCUGACCCUUAUACUGUAGACUCACUACAUAUACUGAAUGUUAUCAAUAUCGUACCAUACAUAACAAUAAGGUAGACAGUGCAAAUGGUGCUUUAUCAGAUUAUUUAUCAUCUUCAAAUAGAUACAGAUUUUUCUCUUACCUCUUCUUCCCUCUUUCCUUUUCCCUCUCUCAGGAGCCCACCUGAACCCAGCUGUCUCCCUUAUUCGUUGUGUGCUUGGGAGGCUAAGUCUAAACUGCUGCCCUACUGCAUGUCUCAGGUUCUUGGGGCCUAUAUAGCUGCUGCUGUGUUCUUCUCCGUGUACUAUCGUGGGUCCGAUAAAACGUGUAGAAGGAAACACUGCUGAAAUUACAGUUGUCUUAGAUAUUUCUAACUCUCUUUCUUGGUUUUCCUCUCUCUGUCCCUCUAUCCAUAUGCUACUCCAGCGGUGGCGUCCUGACUGUGUACAGCCCAAAUGAAACGGCCUCCAUCUUUGCUACCUACCCAUCUGACUACCUUUCUCUAUGGGGCAGCUUCUUUGACCAAGGAGGAGAGAGGGAAAAUAAUCCGUGCAUACAGUAAUGCAUUCUUGAGGAUUGUGGGUAUUGUACCUCUGAGGAUAUUUUACAGAUGGAUCUUAAUUUGACCAGUAUUGUACCAAGAAAAAUAAUCCUGCAGCAACACGAUUUGAACAUUUAGUCCAUGUUGCUUUAUUGGUGGUUAGAAGUAGGCUAAAUGAAAAGUGCAAUGCUGUUAAUAUAACCGUGUGUUAUUGCGUGUUUUCAGUUAAUGUAUGUCAAUCAUGACUCUCAUCUGCAUUUCCUGUGGUUCAGGAAAAUUCUCAGCAACAGAAGUGAUCAAAUAAACAUCCUACAUCUGUACGUCUAACUUCAUCACUAAUCCUUUACACUGUACAUGCUUUUAGUUUUAUAUGUUAUGCCUUGUUGUAUCUACCAUUCCUUCCCCACACACAGUUAGUUCCCUCAGGAAAUAAAACAUAUUUGAAAAUGUAACUAAUCCAUACCUUUCUGUUUCCUUCAGUUGGUGGGCACAGGUAUGAUCAUGAUGUGCUUCCAGCCCCUGGAUGAACGGCGGAACAAGCCUUCCCCCUUCUGACCUGGUCCCCCCCCCUCACCGCCGUGGUUCUCACAGGGAUCUCCCAGUCCAUGUCUUCAAACUGCGGGGGAGGGAUCAACGCCUCCUCACUCUGACCGCAGGAUGGGGUACAAAGGUCUUCACGUGCUAUAACUACUGGUUUUGGGUCCCCAUCGUGGCUCUGGGCUCUACCUGGUCUUCGUCCAAUGGCACUUACCAGACUGAGAUAAAUUAAACCAAUGACUUGCAGUUCAAGACCAUGGAUAAAAAGCUGGAAAUCAUCAAAAACAACAAUGCUGUAGAGCUGGCCCACAAGUUCUAGUUGGCAUAACCUUGUCCCCAGGCUCAAUUGCUACACAGAGAGAGUGCCGGCUGGGUGGAUGAGAUUAUAGUUGGUGGUACAGAUGAAGGAUAUACUCGUUUUAUCUCUUCUUUAGCCUUUUUAUGAGCAAAGUAACCAUCUGAAUAACUGAACAUGGUGUUCAGAAUAUUAGAUACAUUUCCUUUGGUGUUGAUAGUACUGUGGGACUUUAUACAAUAUUUUGAAAAAUAAUGAAAAUGACAUGCAAUGAACUUGUAACAGACUGCUUUAUGACAUUCUCUAUCAACUAUACAGAGCCAUAUAUUUUCAGAAAUAUUUGGAUCUUGAGCAAUCUAUAGAUCACUUCAUUCCAUUUAACGAUACUGUUGAUUACAACAACAAAAUAACACCCCUCACCUUUCUGCAUUGAUGAACUAUAGGGCAACCGACAUUAAUGAUGUCAUACAGGGGUCGGUUCACAAAUAGAGUACAUUUUGUGUAGUGUAACUUGGUAAAUAAAAAAAUAAUCAAAUUUUAA